GACGAACGCUGGCGGCGCGCUUAACACAUGCAAGUCGAACGGAAAGGCCUGCUUUCCCUUGUGGAUUGCGGGUACUCGAGUGGCGAACGGGUGAGUAACACGUGAGUGAUCUGCCCCCAACUUGGGUAUAAGCCUGGGAAACUGGGUCUAAUUCCCGAUAGGACUGCAGGGUGGUGCCUGUGGUGGAAAACGAUUUUCUAGUGGUUGGGGAUGAGCUCGCGGCCUAUCAGCUUGUUGGUGGGGUAAUGGCCUACCAAGGCGGCGACGGGUAGCCGGCCUGGGAGGGUGGACGGCCACAGUGGGACUGAGACACGGCGCAGACGCCUACGGGCGGCAGCAGUGGGGAAUAUUGCACAAUGGGCGGAAGCCUGAUGCAGCGACGCCGCGUGGGGGAUGACGGCCUUCGGGUUGUAACCUCCUUUCGACCGCGAGGAAGCCACCUGGUUGGAAGGGUGGUGACGGUAGUGGUAGAAGAAGCACCGGCUAACUACGUG
rnacentral:rRNA from 1 species